rnacentral:rRNA from 1 species
GGGCCCGCACAAACGGUGGAGCAUGUGGUUUAAUUCGAUGCAACGCGAAGAACCUUACCUACUCUUGACAUCCAGAGAAGCCAGCGGAGACGCAGGUGUGCCUUCGGGAGCUCUGAGACAGGUGCUGCAUGGCUGUCGUCAGCUCGUGUUGUGAAAUGUUGGUUAAGUCCCGCAACGAGCGCAACCCUUAUCCUUGUUUGCCAGCGAGUAAUGUCGGGAACUCCAGGGAGACUGCCGGUGAUAAACCGGAGGAAGGUGGGGACGACGUCAAGUCAUCAUGGCCCUUACGAGUAGGGCUACACACGUGCUACAAUGGCGCAUACAGAGGGCGGCGAACUUGCGAGAGU